GAGGCCCUACAACUCACUAGUCGAACGCAUCCGUCAGUGGCGGGUGGAUGCCGGCGAGACAACCUGGAUCGGGGAAGGCUAAGGGCCCCAGGCCUAUGCUAAUCCCGAGCGGAGCUACCCUGUAGCCCGUGUAGAGCGCGGAAAGGUGUCGGUCUUGCGAGCGCAAGGCUUAAGGGACGUGCCAGACCCUGCAGAAAUGCAGGCCAGCUACUCGAGCGCCCGCCGCGCGAAGGUAGUUGGGCGCUAUAGCGUGCUAUAGCGUCGUAUAGUGGGUAACUAAAACGGCCAGCAGCCGCGGUAAUUCCAGCUCCAAUAGCGUAUAUUAAAGUUGUUGCAGUUAAAAAGCUCGUAGUUGAACCUUGGGCCUGGCUGGCCGGUCCGCCUCACCGCGUGCACUGGUUCGGCCGGGCCUUUCCCUCUGGGGAACCCCAUGCCCUUCACUGGGUGUGGCGGGGAACCAGGACUUUUACUGUGAAAAAAUUAGAGUGUUCAAAGCAGGCCUAUGCUCGAAUACAUCAGCAUGGAAUAAUAGAAUAGGACGUGCGGUUCUAUUUUGUUGGUUUCUAGGACCGCCGUAAUGAUUAAUAGGGACAGUCGGGGGCAUCAGUAUUCAAUUGUCAGAGGUGAAAUUCUUGGAUUUAUUGAAGACUAACUACUGCGAAAGCAUUUGCCAAGGAUGUUUUCAUUAAUCAGGAACGAAAGUUAGGGGAUCGAAGACGAUUUAAUCACUGUAUUUGGUCGUCCAAAGUGCAAGCUAGU
rnacentral:rRNA from 1 species